AUACUGCUGUCAACUCAGGCACCCAUAGCACUGGCUGGGUGGAUGGGCUGCAUCAUCCGCACAGUGGGGACACUUGCAGCUGUAAGAAAGAACCAGGAAGAUACAUGUGGGAACGGAGAGAUCUCCAGCAUCAGCUGGUAUUACAAGUAAACUUGCAUAUAUAAAGCAAUCUCUGAAAAUUAGAAACAAACGGAGUUAAAUUAAACUAACUAUACAUCGAUGGUAAUAUAACUCCCAAGAAAAUAAUGAUUUCUCGUGACUGGGACAGCAUUUAGACGGAACCAAGAUUUUCAGUGUAAGAGAAAUGAGAUCAAGUAUAAAAUCAACAAAGGUUAGUAAAACCCUCCAGUGUUCAAUUUGGAUGAAAUGAUCAUGUGAAUCGGUGAAGUAACUUUGAGGUGGUCAGGAAGCACAUGCACUGAAGUGUCACUUCUUCGCUCUGCCCUGACAACAUCCAGUAGCGAUGGCAGCAGCCGCAGUGAGCACCUCUCGCGUCUGGACGUUGGCUUCUAAGUACCACUCCUCGCUAGAGGAAUGGCCCGUCCAGAUGUGAGGCAAGAAAUCAGCAAGACGAACCUGGGCUGUGCACUCAGGUCCCAACACA